UUGUGCGGGAACCCCGGGUUAGAAGCAGGGAGCUGUCACCAGCCAGAGGAAACCUGGGAGGACAGUCACGUAAACACUGGCUAGAGAGAAGUGACCUUGGGACGAGGGGCACAGCCAGCCCGAGAUGAACCUCACGGUGCCAGGGGAAUAAAUUCACUGAGCUUCUUCUCUUUCUUCCCCUGACCUCCUGGGGGGCUCCCCACUGGCCCCACCUGACCACAGCCAGAGGGUGAGAGAGGGUAGGAUCAGCAUGGAGAGCGGACCCAGAGGGAAACAGAAAACAUCACGCCCCAGAACUGGGCGUCUAUGCUUUGAACAUCCAACAGCCCAGCCUCUCAUCUUAUGGGUCCUGGUUCAGCCUGACCACAAGGCUCCUCACCUGGCAGGCCCCAGGCUCAGGGUGACAUCAGGGCUUGAUGACCUCAUAGUAUAGACCAACAGCCUGGAAACAGUGGCCUUGAUAAUCCUAUCUCUGGGAUUCUAGCCUAAGGAAUGCUAAAGCCCAUAAUACUUGGGAUUCUUUUCAUUCUCUGCUAGGGAGGGCUGACCCACUGCCCACAGUGUGCACACAGUCUUGGCCUUGGCCCCACUGAGCUCGGCCAGGAAACCCCAGGAGACAGACAUCCUUGAAGACUGAUGGCAAAAACUGAUGUAAAAGGCCACAAACUAAUCACCACCUUGGUAUCAGAAAAGGAAGUCAGGACACACAGAGAGACCCCAGGAAUACGUGUCCACAGGCAGGCCACGUGGGGACACAGUGAGAAAUCAGCCACUGGCAAGCUGAGGAGACGGGCCGCAGAAGAAGCCAAACCUUCCAACACCUUGGUGUCUGACAUGCAGCUCCCAGAACUGUGAGAAGUAAAUGUAAGCCCCCCUCCCCGACCCAUGCCGCAGUGCUCUGUCGUGGCGACCCUAGCAGACGGACACACCCACCCACCCACAGUAGAAUAGACUUGUGCCCCCUGGCACGCCAGGCUUCAAGGAAAUGUCUGCUGUAUCACCCCCCACACGUUGAGGUGGCUGUCCACUCACAUGCCCACCUGCCCCGAAAGCCUGGGAGCUCCCCAAGAACCACGUCUAGGUCUCUGUUGUCUCACCCCAUCCUAAAUGGCGGGUGUCAGGAGGGGGUAACUGAGAUGACACGUGUAAAGCCCUCCGUGUGGAGCCACGAGGGCUCAGCGCCCAGUGCAUCGGGACCCCCGGGCCACCGCUCACCUGCUCAUGCCCUCAGCCGGACCACGACAGGUGCUCCUGAGGAACUGCUGAGCUGAGUUGAAAGACGGGCUGUGAGCAACUGAAUAUACACGCAGACAACGGCCAGACCGAACAUAAAAACAGAACUGUGGCCCACAGCCUGCAGCACCCUGCCCAGAGAGCCAACCCACAGCCACGGUAACCAGCCGAGGAGGCCAGUCUGCUCCAGGUCAGACCUGCAGGGAGUCAGACUGCCAUCUCUUCUGACGGUCCAGGAAGCCCUGUAACACUCGCGUAACAACUGGCCCCAAACAGCCGGGACUUGACUACUAACAACGUCUCUGAUUUUUAUUCCAAUUUCCAACUUAGGGCUAACUCCGGAAAGCCAAAAUGCACCCUAACCAGUCACGUAGGAUGCCCCCUGCAAGCUGGCCUGCCUCCAGCUUCGCCUUUUAUCCUCUACAAAGCUUUCCCGCCCCUCCGCUGCCUUUGAGUCUCUCCUCGAUGCCGCCCGCCAGCUGCUCACUCCCCUGCGGGGGCCAGCUCUGAAUAAACAGCCUGUGCUUCUCA